rnacentral:rRNA from 1 species
GCGCACGGGUGGGUAACACGUAUGCAACCUACCUUCAACUGGGGGAUAGCCUUCCGAAAGGGAGAUUAAUACCGCAUAAUAUAAUUGAACGGCAUCGUUUGAUUAUCAAACUUCCAGGGGUUGAAGAUGGGCAUGCGUCCGAUUAGUUAGUUGGUGAGGUAACGGCUCACCAAGACAUCGAUCGGUAGGGGAUCUGAGAGGAUUGCCCCCCACACUGGUACUGAGACACGGACCAGACUCCUACGGGAGGCAGCAGUAAGGAAUAUUGGUCAAUGGACGCAAGUCUGAACCAGCCAUGCCGCGUGCAGGAAGACGGUCCUCUGGAUUGUAAACUGCUUUUGUUAGGGAAGAAACCCUCGGAUGCGUUCGAGGCUGACGGUACGUAAAGAU